rnacentral:sRNA from 12 species
CCUAUGGAGUGUAUAAGAACUUGUGAGUAGUAUAUCAGAAAUGAUUACAAAAGCAUACACGAUGAAAUAGGAA